rnacentral:rRNA from 1 species
GACGAACGCUGGCGGCGUGCUUAACACAUACAAGUCGAACGGAAAGGCCCUGCUUUUGUGGGGUGCUCGAGUGGCGAACGGGUGAGUAACACGUGAGUAACCUGCCCUUGACUUUGGGAUAACUUCAGGAAACUGGGGCUAAUACCGGAUAGGAGCUCCUGCUGCAUGGUGGGGGUUGGAAAGUUUCGGCGGUUGGGGAUGGACUCGCGGCUUAUCAGCUUGUUGGUGGGGUAGUGGCUUACCAAGGCUUUGACGGGUAGCCGGCCUGAGAGGGUGACCGGCCACAUUGGGACUGAGAUACGGCCCAGACUCCUGCGGGAGGCAGCAGUGGGGAAUAUUGCACAAUGGGCGGAAGCCUGAUGCAGCAACGCCGCGUGCGGGAUGACGGCCUUCGGGUUGUAAACCGCUUUCGCCUGUGACGAAGCGUGAGUGACGGUAAUGGGUAAAGAAGCACCGGCUAACUACGUG